AAGAAAAGGUAGAUUUCUUUGUAAAAAUCUGCAGCCUAAAAGUUAUCACAGUUUUUUUUUUCCUUCAUAUAUAUUUUUUUAAAUUAUGGGCGAUGGAGGGCUGUCUUCCCAAUUUAUUUUCUGCAAUUGAACUCACACUGAACUUCAGGCAUACUUCUGCCUGCUUGACAUCUCCGCUUAGAUGUUUAAAAGACGUCUCAAACUUAACAUUUAAAAGUUAACUCCUAAUCUUUUUCUCUAUCCAAAUAUGCUUUUUCUGUUUCCCCAUUUUAGCAAAUGUCAAUUGCAGGUUCCCACUUUCUUAGGGAAAACAUUAGUUAUCAUCAACCCUUUCCUUCAUAAUCUUUAUUCAAUGCACUAGCAUAUUCUGUUGUUUCACCUUCUAAAUAUACAUCAGGCUAAACUACUUCUCAUCACUUCAACUGCCACCAUUCUGGUCCAAGUAAUGAUUAUCUUUUAUCUGAACUUCUACCAUAGCCUCCUAGGGAUCUUCCAAGAUUUCUCUAGUUGGCUCACUUACCACUUUUCCAUGCCCUUCUUCAUACUAGAAAUGUUGAAAGUUUAGAAAGGUCAGUCUCAUUUGCCAGAAUCCCUUGCAGUUAGUUGUUGGAUUCAUUUCCCUUACUAGAUGCUGAGUGAGAUUUGAAAGAUGGAAAUUGGGCAAAGACUGCAUUCCUUUCCCCUUGAGUCAUUUUCUGGAAAAUUAGCAAAGCCGCAAUCCUCUGAGUUUUCUCUGCAGUAGAAUUCCAGUGCCUGUUCCCCAGCCUUUUCCAUGACAAAAAGUUUCAGAGGUGGGAGAGGCAGACAGCAGUGCUUUUAUCUGCCUUCUUGAUCCAUGAAUUAUAGCUGUGGGUGUCAUGUGCCAGUGUCCUGUGCAUCUGGAGGAAACUACAAGGGCAGGAUUCUUGAAAGUAGCAGUUGGUCCUUGAUCCUGCUAUCAAUCCAGUGGUGGCCUGGGAGUAGUCCCCCUGACUGGUUAUUUCUCUUCUGCUAAUGUAUUUUUAAAUUGAAGUAUGGUUGAUUUACAAUCUUGUGCCAAUUUCUACUGUACAGCAUAGUGACCCAGUCAUACAUAUAUAUACAUUCUUUUUCUCACACUAUCUUUCACUGUGUUCUAUCCCAAGAGACUGGAUAUAGUUCCUGGUGCUAUACCUCAUUGCUUAUCCAUUCUAAAUGUAAUAGUUUGCAUCUACUCUGACUGGUUAUUAGUCCAUUCAUUGUUUGGUCCUCAUUCCUGAUGGCCUGAGCUAAACCAAUUUCUUCAGCUCUUCUAACAAUUGUGUAAGCAUCUUAACAUAACUAUAAUGCAUUCUUCAACUCUUAUUCGCUGUGUGAUUUUGUAAAAGGUACUCUCUUUAAAUUUCAAUAUCAUCUAUAAAAUGAAGAUAAUAGCAAUGACUAAAUAAUAAUAUAUUUUGAAGACUAACUAAAAAGUUUAGAAGUGUUUCCUAUUUCUUUGGUAUGUGACAGGUGCUUAAUAAAGGUAAGCCUCUGUCAUUAUUUUCCACUUACCCCACCGAUGACAGUUUAGCUCUAGCCUUAAUCUCCAGUUGCCCAGAUUAUGCAAAUAGUUUCUAAUCUUCUUGCCUAUGCUCUUGAUACUUUUUUUUUAAACGAAGUUUAGUUGAUUUACAAUAUUGUGUUAGUUUCAGGUGUACAGCAUUGUGAUUCAGCAUUUUUUUUUCUGAUUAUAUUUCAUUAUAUGUUAUUAUAAGAUGUUGAAUAUAACUCCCUGUGCUAUCCAGUAAAUCUUUGUUGCUUAUCUAUUUUAUGCAUAGUAGUUUCUAUCCAUUAAUCCCAAAUUUCUAAUUUGUUCUCUCCCUCUUCCCUUUGAUAACCAUAAGUUUGUUUCCAGGCGUGAGUCUGUUUCUAUUUUGUAUAUAGAUUUGUUUUAUUAUUUUUUUUUAGGUUCCACCUAUAAAUGAUAUCAUUUAAUAUUUGUUUUUCUCUGACUUACUUCACUAAAAAAUAUUCUCUAGGCCCAUCCAUGUGGCUGCUAAUUGCCGUAUGUCAUUCUUUUUAUGGCUAAUAUUUCACUGUAUAUAUACCACAUCUUCUUAAACUAGUUUUUUGUUGAGGUUGUGUCCAUUUGUCCAUGUGUCAGUUGUUAUAAAUAGUGCCUUGCUACUUUUUAAUCUGUUGUUUUAUUUACAACCAGCAUGAACUUUAUAAAUUCAAAUUAACCAUAUCACAUAAUUAUUUCAAAUACGGAAAUGUAUCCUAAUGUUCCUUAGUGUAGAGUUCUAAAUACUGAGCAAAGUUAAUUUUACCUUCCGUUAUCUGACCUCUGCUUAAAUAUUCAGGUUAUAUUUCCGCUCUUGCCACUACCUUCCCCAUUGCCAACCUGUAACACUUCAUUCUGCUGAUGUCAUCCUGGCUUGGCUUGACCUCCAAGUUUUCAUGCAACCUUUGCCUAGAAGAUCUUUCUCCCUGUAUUCCUGUCAAGUGAUUAAAUUAAAUUCCUUCCUUAAACUUGACCACAGAGCUCACUUCCUCUUCCUUCUUAGGAAGCCUUCCCGGAUCUGCAUCAUUCUAUCAUAUUCUCCUCCUAUGGUACACACAGCACACUCUUCCUCCUCUAUUAUAGCAUGGGAUAGAGGAAUAAUAGCUAACCUUUGACAGUAUUUCAUACUAGGAUGAAAAAAUAUAAAUACACAGUCCAGGCUGGCUGACUCAUAAGCAAACCUUCAUCGCCUAGUCCAAAUCUGGCAAACCAUAGCUGUGCAACAACUGUUAGUGAAGAGUGGAAUGUAUGAAAUGAAUCCCUACUGAAUAUAGCUGGCUUUAGGCCUAAUUGGAUCUCACAUGAGUAUUUAUAAUAGUCUCCUCCAUUUUCUGCCACCCACUUUUGUCACACCUUGAAUGUGUUAUCCACUCUCUAACAAAGAAGAGUCCAUUUACACAUAAUCUCCCUUGCUAUAACCCAUGAAUGUCUUGCCAUUGCCUAUACGUUAAAUUCUAAACUCUAUAUUUUUGUCAUUCAGUAAAUAUUGAUUGAUUGCAUUUUUACUGAUGGCAGGGUGCUGUGCUAUACUGCUCAGCAUUUCAUCAAAGUCCCAUCAGAACCAGAUUGCACUGACCAACCUGUCUCACCUCCUCUUCUUAUACUUGAUGGUUACUAGUAGAAUAGAACACUUCUUAUCCAACACAUUGAGGACCCACAAUUACUCUGUUUUUGUUUGGUGGUGGUUGUUUUGUUUUAUGCUUUUAGGGCCGUACCCAUGGCAUGUGGGAGGUUCUGAGGCUAGAGGGUCCCAGGCUACAGCUGCCAGCCAACAGCCACAGAAAUGAGGGAUCUGAGCGGCAUCUACAACCUACACCACAGCCCACAGCAAUAGUAGAUCCUUAACCCACUUAGCGAGGCCAGGGGUUGAACCUUCAUCCUCAGGGAUACUAGACAGCUUUGUUUCCACUGAGCCAUCUUGGGAACUCCCCUCAUCUUCUCUUUAAAUGUGAAUCAUCUGGUUUGAAUUCUGACUAUAUUAUUGCAUAAUGCCAAAAAUCAUCUUUUAUUUUGCUUUUUGUUUGUUUUUUGCUUUUCAGUGCUGUGCCCAUGGCAUAUGGAAGUUCCCAGGCUAGGGGUUGAAUCCAAGCUACAGCUGCCAGCCUAUGCCACAGAAAUGAGGGAUCUGAGCCGCCUCUGCAACCUACACCACAGCUCACAGCAAUACCAGAUCCUUAACCCAAUGAGAAGUGCUAGGGAUAGAAGCCAUGUCCACAUGGAUACUAGUUGGGUUCCUUACCACUGAGCCACAACAGGAAUUCCCAAACUUUUUAAAUUAGAAAAAGUUCAAGACAUUUGAGAAGAAAGCUGGAUCUGCAAUUCCUCAAUGUUUCCCCAAUAAUUUCUAUUUGUUUUUCUCUAAUCUUUCAACAGAAAAUUCUAUAGUGAUUCUUGUUAUUUUGUGACUUUUUACAUGGAUGAUAUUUUUAUUUAUUCAUGUUAUAUAAUUAAUUAAUGUGAUAGUUGAAAGAAAAUACAAACGACUUUUAGCAAACACUUGACUCAAUGUGUGGAAACAACAAAGUUAUGAACAAGCCCGCUGGGUAAGAAAAGUGAAGACAGCAAUAUUUAAUGUCCUCUGGCCAUAGGUUGCUGUAUGUUACAAAGGAAUUGGAGAGAACCAAUCCGGUAGAGAAAAAGUUGAUUAAAGGUGUUUGUCUGGCACUGGAGUUCUAGUGGUCCCUCAUUCAAUUCCAUUUCCCCCACCCUUGUGGAUUAUAUAUCUAAAUACUUGUUCAUUCUGCCUGAGAACUUAUCCUUUCUGAAUAGUUAUUAAUCAUCCCAUGAGAGUGAAUUUAGACUUACCUUGCCCCAGUGAGCCCUUCUUGUAUGCUUCUAUAGAACUUUUUGUAUGCCCUCCAACCUAACACUUUCCCCAGCAGAUUGAAAUUUUGCAUCUCUUGGUGUUUCUCUUCAAUUAGAUUUUGGUUGUUAGAAGGUAGUUUUUGUUUCUUACAGGUCCUGCUCUUGGCACCUCCCACAGUUUCUGGCACAUAGUUUUACAGUCAGUAAGUAUUUGCUCAUUUUAGUUACUGUGUUCGUGUUUGUUCCAUCACCCACCUAGCAUACCUAACUGGAGUCUUUCUCAUCACUUGGCAAUUUUCUAAAUGCAGAUUUAAACUCUGAAUUCCCCCACUCUGAUUACAAAUUACCUCUUCUAUUCUGUUGCGGUCUCACUGAAUCUGCCUUUCCUCUCAUUAUUAUAGUUACACCUCUAACUCCUUUUUAUCUUUCUAGUCCAUUACUCUGUUUCUGAUUUCACUACAUUUUCUACUCCACUUGAAUCAAUUGUUUAUACUUUGUACAAUGUGGAUUCACUAAAAUGCAUUUCCUUUGCCCAUGUCGGUCUGUGGGAUCCCUCUUGCCCCGUGUUAUUUAUCUCUCCUCCCAAGUUAUAUCAGCUGGAGAUUACAGAACCACACUAGGUUGGGGGCCAAUACAAAUUCUCAGUAACUCAACCUCAUGGGGAACAUUGAUAUUCUUCUCCUCCAUUUCUUUUGAACAAGAACUGUCAUUUCUUAUUUUUAAAACUCACCAUCACUCCAUCUACCUCUUCCUCCUCUUGGAACUUGCUCCAUUAACUUUUUCAUCUCUCAUUUGCAUUUUCAAUUUCUCCUUCGUCUUUUUUAUCCCUUACGGUGAUUCAUAUUCCUUCAUCUUAGUUACACUUCAAAUAUUUUUUUUCUCUGUUCUGACAUUUUUUUUUCUGUAAUACCAAGUUUGCUGAAAGUCAAGUCUAUAAAAUGUUCUAUAAGUCUGCCUGUUCUUCCACACUAGCUAUUCUUUUUAUUCUUGCAACAUAAUGAUAUAGUACUUAAUACCCACAAAUAUAACUGAAAACUCACUGUUUGAGAACAAUGUGGUGCUUCAUAUUUAUUACUUUAUUUAAAUAUUAAAAUACCUCUACAGCAGUUCCGUUGUGGCACAGCAGAAACAAAUCCGACUAGGAAGCAUGAGGUUGCGGGUUCAAUCCCUGGCCUUGCUCAGUGGGUUGAGGAUUCGGUAUUGCCGUGAGCUGUGGUGUAAGUCGCAGAUGUGUCUGGGAUCUGGCAUUGCUGUGGCUCUGGCGAAGGCUGGCAGCUAUAGCUCCGAUUGGACCCCUAGCCUGGGAACCUCCAUAUGCCAUGGGUGUGGCCCUAAAAAAA
rnacentral:lncRNA from 1 species